UACUUCAAGGUUUGCUGCUCUACCUUUUCUUUUACGUUUUAUCACCUUCUUCAUACUCUUUACAAUACCCAUUAUUCAUCUUGGAAAUGACCAUUUUUUCAUACAGGUCACUGUCCAUCUGCACCCAAUAGCUCUAGGUGAAAGAUAAAACGGUGUUGUUCUAAAGAGAGGAAAUUUACCGAUUAUAUGUGACACCUUCGUUCUCUAAAAAUGGAUUCAAUGUAUAAUAUGCAUCUUGUGCUCAGAGGUCAAAUAUAUUACUGCAAUUUACCUGUAAUGAGCUCAGGUAUGUUAGCUUUGUAAUGUCCAUGCAGGUGUACUGGUGUAUAUCGAUCUGAACCAUGAAUUUAUGUUUAUGGAUGGAGGGUGAACAUGUAGUUAAUAUUUUCUAUAUGGUUUAUUAGGUUCUUAAUCAGGCUAUCUUAUUUUAAACAAAAUAUUAAAAUUAGCAAGUUGAAAGAAAAUAACCUUGAUAAAACUGCAACUGAAGAAGUACAAUUAUUGUUAUUUGUAUGAACAGCCAGCAUGUACUUUGCAAAUGUAUUAGUUUUCUAUUUGCUAUUUUCUUGCUAUUUAUUUGAAUAUAGGAUGGCAUCUGCAUGCUUUUGUCUCUGAUUCCUUGUUCUUACCAGUGCUCUUCAGCAAUACAGUUGUUGUUAUUUGUAUGAACAGCCAUCAUGUAGAGUGCAAAUGUAUUAGUUUUGUAUUUGCUAUUUUUCCUUGCUCUUUAUUUGAAUAUAGGGUGGAAUUUGGAUGCUUUUGUAUUUGAUUCCUUAUUCUUAACAGUUGCCCUUCAGUUUCAUUUCAGGUCAUGGUUGUCUUACAAUAAUGUGGAGUGCUGCAAAAAACAUGUCUUCGCUGGCUGGCACUUUGAAUUUGUCCCCAAGGUGUGGUUCUUAUGUGCUAGGCGCCCUAAAUGAUCCGUGAAGUAAGAAGCUUGUCCAGACAUAUUUGUGUCUUUCCAAAUCAGUUGAAAAUGAGUGAAAUUAUUGUCCAACCAUACAACUUCCUUUUAAAUCGGAAGCGUCUCGAACUAUAUGCUGACUGUGUGGUUGUUCUUGACGAUACAACUCCUAAUAGAAUGGUCCUCCGACGUUAGUUUAAAUCAUACUUUGGACAAACAAACUCUUUGGUCUCCACUAUUAUAUCUGCAAGCACAACCACGUUGAGGUAUCCUCGAUAUAUGAAUAAUGAUCUGGCUGGCCUGCUUGCCUCCUUGAUCCCAACUCCAAGGUGCCAUUUUCUGAUGAUAAGUUAUACACCAUUGAUCAACGCCAGGUAACUUUGGUUCCCGAGUUGUUACGUUGGACAGGCAGCAUGUUUGGAUUUAGGUCUCAUGUACUUACUUUGUAGUUGCCUUUGGUUGGUUUAAAUUUGGGACCAGUGGAUUUGUUUCAGACUUCCAACAUUUGGUUUCCUGCUUUUCUUGUGGCAGGCUUGACCUGAUUUAAGUUUCUGCAGAACCUUUUUUCCUUGUGUGCUAGAUUUUUCAGCUCAAGAAGAUCCACCCUACAACUGACUGCAAAGUUUAUAUGCAUGGUUAAUAUUGAGGAUUCUUCUGGUUUGAGCUCCUCGAGGAUCAUCAGUAACCUAGAAAGUGUGCUCUGGAUGUUGGGUCAGCUGCAUAUCAGACUUGAAGACUGAAGUAUUCGUUUUGUACCACAUGUUUGCUUUCACCUCGGGAUAUUGUUGAAUGGAGGAAGAUGAGUUCAUAGGCUUGGGAUCCAUCUUUUGAUGAAAAAGAAAGGGAAUGGUGCAUAUCAAAGUAAGUUCUUAAUCUGUGUAUGCCACUUUAUCGGUGGAAGUUCUUUCAUUGUCAAAUUAUAACUAUUAGUCCUAUGCGGUCCAUCCUACUAUAAGAGUACCCAGCAAGAUUUUCACAAAUUAUUUGCUUUUCUGCAAAUGUUCGUUCCUUUUAAAGAAAAGUACAUCCUACGGUCCUAGCUUGAAUCUUUGGUUGUAUAUGUGUCGGUGUACACCCUGCAUGUGUGUAGAUCCAACUAUUAUGUGGCCCACUUAUAUGCUAUUUCUGACAUGCUCUUACCUGAAUAUCUGAAUAAGUAAGACUGUCAACAAAUCCAUGUUCCAGAAACAAGAAUGUUUUUGCGCCUUUCAUGUACAACCAACAGAAGUAAAUAAUAAUAACACUUACGGCUUUAAGGUGAAUAAACAAUGCAACAAACAAUCAUACGGAAAGAUUUAGCCUAUCAGUAUUUUGUACAGAAACAAUUGAGGAAAUAUACGUGACUUUGCGGUACUUAUCAAUUACAGUUUCAACUUCGGUAUUUUAUCAUCAUGAUGGCUCUUUGUUAGUAAUAAAUAUUAAAAGUUAGUUAUGUUUGGUCUUUCAUCCUUACAGUGCAAUCAGAAACCUCUUAAGGUUUACAAACUGUUUUUUUAUUUGGAAUUUUCCCUUUGUGUCUUUUUUCCCUUCUUGAUACCAGGCUCCUCCUUGAAUGUUUACAGUAAUGUUUUCACUCCAACUUUGAAAGUUGGACCAGUUCAUCAUCUGUCUUGAAUAAGUUCUUGAAUUCUAAUGCAAGUAUCAUUUUAUAACUUAUGUCUUCCUGCGUUGCAUGAUCUGCUGGUUAUCCGUUGGUUAAUCCCUAUUUUCAUUUGUAUACUGAUGUCACAGUUCGCUAUUAUUUUAUAUGCUUUAUCAGAGAGGUUCGCUCUCGCAUGUGCAAGAGAUGAUUUGAAGAUUGCAGUGUAGACUUUGACAAGAACAACUAUGAGAGGCCAACACUUAGCGGUUCCAGCUUGAAACUCUAUCUGGAGAUGCAUGUUGAUUUGUAUCUAUGUAGUAUGUACCAAGUACAACCUUAUAUAUCUCCUGAGUUUUGCUUUUACCAAAAAAAUAUUAGUGUCGUUGUCAUGUAUGUAGAGCCCACCGUAGUUCUGACAUCUGCCUCCUUGCUAAAUAAGAAAUCUGAGCUACUUCUCUUUACAACUGAGUUAUCGCUAUGUAUUUUAUUAAAAAAAUUCUCCUUGGCUGCUUAACUGACGAUUAUUUG